AUUGAACGCUGGCGGCAGGCCUAACACAUGCAAGUCGAACGAGUGGCGGACGGGUGAGUAAGGUCUGGGAAACUGCCUGAUGGAGGGGGAUAACUACUGGAAACGGUAGCUAAUACCGCAUACCAUCGGAUGUGCCCAGAUGGGAUGAGGUAGUAGGGGGGGUAAAGGCUCACCUAGGCGACGAUCCCUAGCGGGUCUGAGAGGAUGACCAGCCACACGUGAACUGCGAGACGGUCCAGACCCUGACGGCAGGCAGCAGUGGGGAAUAUUGCACAAUGGGCGCAAGCCUGAUGCAGCCAUGCCGCGUGUAUGAAGAAGGCCUUCGGGUUGUAAAGUACUUUCAGCGGGGAGGCGUUACCCGCAGAAGAAGCACCGGCUAACUCCGUGCCAGCAGCCGCGGUAAUUC
rnacentral:rRNA from 1 species